CGCACAUGUGGACGGGAGUACAGACGCCAGCGCAUGCGCGAUAUAUGUCGAACUGGGGGAAAGUCCUGAAACAUCGAUGAGGGGUGGCGAAGCUAGCGCCCUUGGACGAACGGCUGGCGGGU
rnacentral:ncRNA from 1 species